rnacentral:lncRNA from 1 species
UUUGUUCUUUUUUCAUCUGUUACUGAAAUAGCAGUGCUACUUGGUGACUUUUUUGUCUUGUAUUUCCAGGGAUGAGAGUAUCUCUGAGCAAUCUUCUAGAGGUUUGAAUUCACAAGAGAAGUUUUUUAAAAUUAAAAUAUUAAGUGCUGUCUGCAUUUAUGUUUAUCAUCUGUGAAGUGUUCAUUUUUCAUAAUCAUUCCCUUGCAGUUCGAGAGCAUUGUUAUGCAAUGAUUAUUCCCAAUGCCAAGCUAUCAACAGGAGUAUUUUGAGAUAAACAGUGUGUUUACAAUAGAAACUGUAGUGGUGUCUUUUGUUUUGGAAGAUGUUGGCAUUUGUAUUAUUAUUCUGCUCAGGAAUGAGGCUGUCUUUCUCAGCCCAUUGGAGAAUUGCUGUAAUUUUCUCAGUGAUUGUACACAGAGUUGGACCGCUCCUCCAUGUCCCCACCAGCUAAGGUAAGGUUCUCUAGUUUUUUGGUGACCCUAGUUAGUUCAUUUGUGCAUUCAUUUAUCCACACAUUCAUUUAUCAACCACUAACAAUGCAGUUUGAAAUAAUGUCUAAGAAAUAGUCCUUGCAACACCCUGUCUCAUCAGACUAUUGAACUAUGGAUUUGCAGAAAAAAUAAAAUUUACAAUAACCUGGAAAACUCAAACCAUCUGACAAAUCUAGGAGAGAUUUUCACUAAUUUCCAGGCUGAGUGAUUUAGAUUAUGAAAUAUAAGUGAUAACCUAUUAAGACUUGCCACCACAUAACAGAAAAUAGAGAUAAAGUUCACUGUCUCUUCCAUUCUUUUUGAUACCUGGAGUAUGGUGACCCCAGCUUUAAAACAAGCAAACAAAUAGAUUAAUGCUAUAUACCUUUACAAAGAUCAUCUCAGAAAUAAUGGAUAAAAGGUAAGAAGAAUUUUGUGAGGAGUUAGGGAGAUAAUUUGGAGGAAAAUGAUGGCACUCCAUUGGAGCAUAGGGACAUAUUUCUGAUAUGUAUUUCUCCAAACAAGAUCUAUGUAGUGUUGGAAAUAAGAUUGGUGAUCAUAGAAAUACAUUAUGGCCCUAGAGUUAUUUAUUUGUGUCUUCUCCCCGCCACCAAAUCUCAUGAAACUCAUCAAUAAGAGUGGAAGAAAACAACCCUGUCUCAAUUGCCACUGCACUAAAGAGGACCUAUUCAACCCAGGAAAGUAGACUACUUGUGGUUAUCAACUUGCCUCUCAGAUCAGAGAAGUGCUCACUCAGUUUACAGAUGCAAAGGAGCAGAGCCAAAUAGACUACUAUAGUAUAUUCUGUUUUAUCGUGGUAAAUCAAAACAAAAAAUUGAAUAGCCUGUAAUUAUCUAUUUAUGAAUUUUGUCACUGCAUCACAGAUUUCUGGUAGAUGGUCUUUUCUAGAUAAACUUUUCUGAAUGCUUUAUUUUGAGAGACACUAUUUGAAAUUAGUAAUGAUUAUCAACUCUAAUUGCAUUCUGUGGUCUAUGGCUUUUAAUACCUAAAGAAAUAGUCUAUGGAAGUUUAAGAUACUUCCAAAUAUUCAGGUUCAUAUUCUCUUUACCUUAAUAUGUACUGUUAGGUUUUCUGUAAUUUUUCCAUUUUUCAAAUGAUUAAACUUAACAAAUACAGCUAGGGAGGUACAGGGCAAAAGGGAGGAAGUAUCCUUACUGAAGUAUUACCUGAAGUUUCCUUGGACUCAGUUUUAGAAAAUGUAAGUAACUUAUUCUAAGCUGAGUCUGUAAGGACAGAUAUACCAUGGGUCCUUGUGCUAUCAUACUUUUAAUAAGUGGGGAUUUUUCUUUACAUACUGUUGAAAUUCUAAUAUAGAAUAUUAGAGUUUGUUCAAGACUUUAAGGUCAGGAUGCCUGGGUGGCUCAGUGGUUGAGCAUCUGCCUUUGGGUCCCAGUCCCUGGACCCAGUCCCACAUCAGGCUCCCCUUGAGGAGUCUGUUUCUCCCUCUGCCUAUGUCUCUGCCUCUAUGUGUCUCUCAUGAAUAGAUAAAUAAUUUAAAAAAAUACUUUAAGGUCAAACAAUGGCUAAAUAUCCAUGUAGUAAAGCAUCCUGAUAUUGCAUCUGCUGCAAUUCAUUUUUUUUAAAGGCUUCUCAUAGAAUCUGCUUGGUGUAAUAGAAAGGAUAUCAACUUUGCACAGAAUAAUCUGGAUUUGAAUCCAGUGUAUUAAUUAUUAUUUUUGUGAUCUUGAGCAACUUGCUUACAUGUCUGAGCCUCAUCAGCAAAAUGAUAAUAAUGAUUGUAUUUGAUUAUCAAAUGAAAUUACCCAUAUAAAACACCUAUAGAAUUAAACACCUAUUUUGUUGUUGUUGUUUUCUGGUGUAUGUUGCUAGCAUAUACACACAUAUACACACACAUCCACAAGCCCUAGUUUUUUAGCUCGCAGUUUACAGAAGCAAGUUGAUUACUAUCUUAAAAAUAUUUUGCAAGGGCCCUCUUUUCUCUGUUUAUUCUUUCUCUCUCUCUCUCUCUUUUUUUUAUAGGCUCUCUGAAGAUAGAUUAAAAGAAGAUUAGUCAUCACGAAAGUAUGUUUUACUUUUUUUAGAACCUUCUUCUGGAAAGAGUGAUUUUGUUUUACUUUUUUUAGAACCUUCUUCUGGAAAGAGUGAUUUUGUUGACAUUUGCUGACAUCCAUACUUUCAAUGUACGCAUUUGUAUGUAAAUUUACCUAGGAUCAAUGUCAGACCUCAUUUCCCAGCUUCCCUUGCAAUUCCCAUGAGAAUUUUCCAUAUGAUGGAGUUCUAGGCAGUGAAACAGAAGGUCCCUCGCAAGCCUGGUCCAAAAAGUGUCUCAUACAUGUUCUUCCCUUUCCUCCUUUCCCAUUUCUGCUUGCUGAAAUAGAGGAGGCCUAUGGGAAACCUUAGGAAUCCCAAACUGAAGAUUGGAGAGGCCCAAGGUACUAGGAGUUUGAGCACUGCCUGGAAGACAGCUGCCCAACUAAGAUAGCAAAUUAUCUGAGCAAGAAACAAACAUCCUUUGUAUUAAGCCUAUAUUGCCUCAAUUAAUGUAAGUACUUAGCACAACACUUAGCACACAGUAAGCAUCCAACAAUUGUUCUCCUUUUCC